UCCGUAGGCGGAUCUGUAAGUCAGUGGUGAAAUCUCAUAGCUUAACUAUGAAACUGCCAUUGAUACUGCAGGUCUUGAGUAAGGUAGAAGUAGCUGGAAUAAGUAGUGUAGCGGUGAAAUGCAUAGAUAUUACUUAGAACACCAAUUGCGAAGGCAGGUUACUAUGUCUUAACUGACGCUGAUGGACGAAAGCGUGGGGAGCGAACAGGAUUAGAUACCCCUGGUAGUCC
rnacentral:rRNA from 1 species